UCUCAUAGCGCAGAAGAAUAGCCACAUAAU
rnacentral:piRNA from 1 species